ACGGGAGGCAGCAGUGAGGAAUAUUGGUCAAUGGGCGGAAGCCUGAACCAGCCAAGUCGCGUGAAGGAUGAAGGUAUUAUGUAUUGUAAACUUCUUUAGCAGCAGAGUAAUAAGGCCCUCGUGAGGGCUGAUGCAAGUAUGCUGAAAAUAAGGAUCGGCUAACUCCGUGCCAGCAGCCGCGGUAAUACGGAGGAUCCGAGCGUUAUCCGGAUUUAUUGGGUUUAAAGGGAGCGCAGGCGGAGAGGCAAGCCAGCCGUAAAAUCGUUGAGCUCAACUCAAUCUCGCGGUUGGAACUGCUUCCCUUGAGUGCACGAGAGGAUGGUGGAAUUCGUGGUGUAGCGGUGAAAUGCAUAGAUAUCACGAAGAACUCCGAUUGCGAAGGCAGCCAUCUGGCGUGUUACUGACGCUCAUGCUCGAAGGCGCGGGUAUCAAACAGGAUUAGAUACCCUGGUA
rnacentral:rRNA from 1 species